AAGGAGCAGCCCGAACAAAUGAAGAAACUGGUAGGCUAGUUUGGAAUCAUUGGUGUUUUGCACUAAGCAGUUGGCCGUAUCCUGGAAAAGCUUUUGGUUAACUCCUUGGCUAAACAAAUUAACUGGAGCGGGCCAAAUUAAAAAGUGGCCUUUCAUGCACUCCUCCUUAAUACUGUCGGAGUCAAUGCAGUGAGGACAAAUGUCUAUACCACGCCACUGAUAAAGAGAUUGAAAAAUGCAUUAUAUGGUGGCUACAACUUGCUCCUGACAGGGAUGAAGGAGGGAAGAAGAGAAAGCUAAUGUGUCAACUGUCUACAUCACUAUUC